rnacentral:rRNA from 1 species
AACGAACGCUGGCGGCAGGCCUAACACAUGCAAGUCGAACGAGAAGCCGCCCUUCGGGGCGGUGGACAGUGGCGAACGGGUGAGUAACGCGUGGGAACUUACCCCUCGGUACGGGACAACCACGGGAAACUGUGGCUAAUACCGUAUAUUCCCUAAGGGGGAAAGAUUCAUCGCCGAGGGAUGGGCCCGCGUCCGAUUAGCUUGUUGGUGAGGUAACGGCUCACCAAGGCGACGAUCGGUAGCUGGUCUGAGAGGAUGAUCAGCCACACUGGGACUGAGACACGGCCCAGACUCCUACGGGAGGCAGCAGUGGGGAAUAUUGGACAAUGGGCGCAAGCCUGAUCCAGCCAUGCCGCGCGAGUGACGAAGGCCUUAGGGUUGUAAAGCUCUUUUGGCGGGGACGAUAAUGACGGUACCCGCAGAAUAAGCUCCGGCUAACUUCGUG